rnacentral:misc_RNA from 1 species
GGGGGAAUGGCAUUUGUGUUUGAAAUUAAUAGAAAAUCUGUGGGGCGGCACCUGGCAAAUGCCACCAAAAUCCGCAAACAAAACAAAUACCAAAUUUGAAUGGUCAUAAGGGAUUUCAUAAAUAGAGGAAAUCCGUCAACUGUUUCCUUUAUCUCCUAUGUUAACCAUCUUAGAUGAACAAAAAUCAGUGUUGUUAGUAGUGUACGCUUGAGUUGGAUGCACACUGUCGAACUGUAUA